rnacentral:rRNA from 1 species
AGAUUGAACGCUGGCGGAAUGCUUUACACAUGCAAGUCGAGCGGCAGCGCGGGGCAACCUGGCGGCGAGCGGCGGACGGGUGAGUAAUGCAUCGGAACAUGUCCAUUCGUGGGGGAUAGCCCGGCGAAAGCCGGAUUAAUACCGCAUACGCCCUAAGGGGGAAAGCCGGGGACCGCAAGGCCUGGCGCGAGUCGGGUGCCGGAUAGGCCCGAUUAGCUAGUUGGUGAGGUAAAGGCUCACCAAGGCGAUGAUCGGUAGCUGGUCUGAGAGGAUGAUCAGCCACACUGGGACUGAGACACGGCCCAGACUCACGGGAGCAGCAGUGGGAAUUUUGGACAAUGGGGGCAACCCUGAUCCAGCCAUUCCGCGUGAGUGAAGAAGGCCUUGGGUUGUAAAGCUCUUUGUCCGGUAACGAACGGUUAGCGUAGAAUAGCGCGACUACUGACGGUACCGGAAGAAUAAGCACGGCUAACUACGUCGCCAGCAAGCCGAC